rnacentral:rRNA from 2 species
UGCAGUCGACGAACUCUGGUAUUGAUUGGUGCUUGCAUCAUGAUUUACAUUUGAGUGAGUGGCGAACUGGUGAGUAACACGUGGGAAACCUGCCCAGAAGCGGGGGAUAACACCUGGAAACAGAUGCUAAUACCGCAUAACAACUUGGACCGCAUGGUCCGAGCUUGAAAGAUGGCUUCGGCUAUCACUUUUGGAUGGUCCCGCGGCGUAUUAGCUAGAUGGUGGGGUAACGGCUCACCAUGGCAAUGAUACGUAGCCGACCUGAGAGGGUAAUCGGCCACAUUGGGACUGAGACACGGCCCAAACUCCUACGGGAGGCAGCAGUAGGGAAUCUUCCACAAUGGACGAAAGUCUGAUGGAGCAACGCCGCGUGAGUGAAGAAGGGUUUCGGCUCGUAAAACUCUGUUGUUAAAGAAGAACAUAUCUGAGAGUAACUGUUCAGGUAUUGACGGUAUUUAACCAGAAAGCCACGGCUAACUACGUGCCAGCAGCCGCGGUAAUACGUAGGUGGCAAGCGUUGUCCGGAUUUAUUGGGCGUAAAGCGAGCGCAGGCGGUUUUUUAAGUCUGAUGUGAAAGCCUUCGGCUCAACCGAAGAAGUGCAUCGGAAACUGGGAAACUUGAGUGCAGAAGAGGACAGUGGAACUCCAUGUGUAGCGGUGAAAUGCGUAGAUAUAUGGAAGAACACCAGUGGCGAAGGCGGCUGUCUGGUCUGUAACUGACGCUGAGGCUCGAAAGUAUGGGUAGCAAACAGGAUUAGAUACCCUGGUAGUCCAUACCGUAAACGAUGAAUGCUAAGUGUUGGAGGGUUUCCGCCCUUCAGUGCUGCAGCUAACGCAUUAAGCAUUCCGCCUGGGGAGUACGGCCGCAAGGCUGAAACUCAAAGGAAUUGACGGGGGCCCGCACAAGCGGUGGAGCAUGUGGUUUAAUUCGAAGCUACGCGAAGAACCUUACCAGGUCUUGACAUACUAUGCAAAUCUAAGAGAUUAGACGUUCCCUUCGGGGACAUGGAUACAGGUGGUGCAUGGUUGUCGUCAGCUCGUGUCGUGAGAUGUUGGGUUAAGUCCCGCAACGAGCGCAACCCUUAUUAUCAGUUGCCAGCAUUAAGUUGGGCACUCUGGUGAGACUGCCGGUGACAAACCGGAGGAAGGUGGGGAUGACGUCAAAUCAUCAUGCCCCUUAUGACCUGGGCUACACACGUGCUACAAUGGAUGGUACAACGAGUUGCGAACUCGCGAGAGUAAGCUAAUCUCUUAAAGCCAUUCUCAGUUCGGAUUGUAGGCUGCAACUCGCCUACAUGAAGUCGGAAUCGCUAGUAAUCGCGGAUCAGCAUGCCGCGGUGAAUACGUUCCCGGGCCUUGUACACACCGCCCGUCACACCAUGAGAGUUUGUAACACCCAAAGUCGG